GCUAAAUGGAAUGGCAGUGGAAAAUGGGCAUCCAGUACAGCAGCACCAAAAGGAGCCACCAAAGCAGAAGAAACAGAGUUUAGGUGAAGACCAUGUGAUUCUGGAGGAGCAAAAAACAAUUCUGCCGGUAACUUCUUGCUUUAGCCAGCCACUCCCAGUGUCUAUUAGCAAUGCAAGUUGCCUCCCCAUCACCACAUCUGUCAGUGCUGGCAACCUCAUUCUGAAAACUCAUGUUAUGUCUGAAGAUAAAAACGACUUUUUAAAACCUGUUGCAAAUGGGAAGAUGGUUAACAGCUGAAAGGAGGUUCAUCUUUCAAAUUUGUGACCACACCAUGGAAGCAUUUACACUAGCUUUUUAUAUAUAUAAUAUAUAUUAUAUAAUGUAUAUUUUUUUUAAAAAAAAGAUAUUACUGGGGGCAUCCAUUUCCUGUGGACUCUUUGAUACUUCAAGCCCUCUUGCAUUAGCAUUA
rnacentral:lncRNA from 1 species